rnacentral:lncRNA from 10 species
GCGCGCUUUCCCGGCUGCGCGCCCGCCCGGUCACGCGCCCUGCUCACCGCGCGCUCGCGUGGGGGCGUCCCCUCUGGCCCCGCGCACGCGCGCUACGUCCCUCAGACUGGCUGCCCCCGAGGGUUCGCCCCCAAAUCCUGUCAGUCCACGGCCUUGAUGGAGCGGCCCCCGUGGGACGACCCUGUUGAUUGUGCUAGCGGAUGUUGUCUCCAUUCUGGAUCUGGGAAAAACUGUGGAGUGAAAGCCGGACCUGUUAGGGUUGGGACCUGAAAGCGGACUUUUUCGCUCUCAGACGGGCCCCAGGUACAGUGAGAGGGGAGUUUGUGUGGUGGUUGUGAGCUUGAGCUUUGGAGAGAGAGAUCUGUGACCUUGGGCAGGUGACCUCUCCGAGCCUCGGUUUCCUCGCCGUAAAAUGAAGAUCCUAAUAGUCCCUACCAGAAGGUUGUGAAUGAGACAAUAGAUGGAAGCCCUUUGCGCGGCCCCUGCACCCGUAAACGCUCAAUCUUAGUUCUUACUCUUGUUGUUUUAAGUGUGCAGGCAAGAUAGACACAGAUACAUAAAAACUGUUUAAGACCACUUCUCUUUUUUUUCUUUCUUUCUUUUUUUUUUUUUUUUUUUUUUUUUGAGACGGAGUCUCGAUCUGUCGCCCAGGCUGGAGUGCAGUGGCGCGAACUAGGCUCACCGCAAGCUCCGCCUCCCGGCUUCACGCUAUUCUCCUGCCUCAGCCUCCCGAGUAGCUGGGACUACAGGCGCCCGCCACCACGCCCCGCUAAUUUUUUUGUAUUUUUAGUAGAGACGGGGUUUCACCGUGUUAGCCAGGAUGGUCUCGAUCUCCUGACCUCGUGAUCCGCCCGCCUCGGCCUCCCAAAGUACUGGCGUGAGCCACCGCGCCGGGCCCCCACUUCUCAACUGAUGACUGCGACACUCCCUUGAGGACGGGAGCUCUUUCAGGCCAGUGGUUUGUUGUUCAUCAAGAUAUCCAAGUACCCGGCAACAUUCCUGGCAUAUAAUAGGAAGGCAGAUCUGGUGAAUGAAUGAAUGAAUGGCGGUAUCUGGAGCAGAGACAAUGAAUUUCAUGUUUAACAGAGGUGUCUUCAAGGAGAUGAAACAAUUCAGAAUGACCUAGGCAAUGGGGUAAUUCCUAAGUAUUGUAGGUCAAGAUAUUGGUUACCUAUGAGGGGGUGAUGCCUGGAGGAAGACCUAAGGGGAGGUCUUCUGGAUACUGAGUGCAUGGACUCAGGCCUUAAAACAUUAGCUGUUUCAACUUUCCAUCACUUGCAACACUCACUCUUAGACCCCACCACCGUGCCCUGAGGAAGCCCAAACAACCCAUGGAGACAUCCGCAUGGAGAGACCUGUGCCCUCAGUCCUGGUUGAACUCCCAGCUGACAGUCAAUGUCAACUUGCCAGCCAUAUGAGUGAACCAUACUGAAGUUCAUCAUCCAUCCCUGAGUAAAGCUACGUGAGCUGACACCAUGUGGAGAAGAAACAAGCAUUCUUACUGAGCCCCGCCCAAAUUGCCGAUUCAUGAACUAAAAAAAAAGAUUGCUGUUCAUUUAAGCCACUAAAUUUUAGGAAUGUUUAGUAAGCAGCAAUCUAUAACUAGAACAAUGGUCAAUAAAUGAAAAUUUUACUUUAAGAAGGCAUACUAUAGCCACAUAACUUUGGGAAACUCUCUUGGUUAAAGUUUUAAAAAUUUCCCUUACUGCAGAGCUUUUAAUGGGCUAAUGUGUUUCAUGUUCCCUCACAAGAGUAUCCAGUGUUUCUCAAACAUUUUUAACCACAGAAUCUGUAUUGUAAAGUGCCAUCUUGCGAGAUUGGGGUUAACGGCCAG